GAUGAACGCUGGCGGCGUGCCUAACACAUGCAAGUCGAACGAAGCUCCUUACCGGAUUCUUCGGAUGAAGGUCUGGUGACUGAGUGGCGGACGGGUGAGUAACGCGUGGGUAACCUGCCCUGUACAGGGGGAUAACAGCUGGAAACGGCUGCUAAUACCGCAUAAGCGCACGAGGAGACAUCUCCUUGUGUGAAAAACUCCGGUGGUACAGGAUGGGCCCGCGUCUGAUUAGCUGGUUGGCAGGGUAACGGCCUACCAAGGCAACGAUCAGUAGCCGGUCUGAGAGGAUGAACGGCCACAUUGGAACUGAGACACGGUCCAAACUCCUACGGGAAGCAGCAGUGGGGAAUAUUGCACAAUGGGGGAAACCCUGAUGCAGCAACGCCGCGUGAGUGAAGAAGUAUUUCGGUAUGUAAAGCUCUAUCAGCAGGGAAGAUAAUGACGGUACCUGACUAAGAAGCUCCGGCUAAAUACGUG
rnacentral:rRNA from 1 species